rnacentral:rRNA from 1 species
AUGUCUCCCCAAGAUGAUAAUGAAGUAACCCAGACACUGGAAGAAUUAGCUGAAUAUGAAGACAUAAUACAGAGGACCUUCAGUUCUGAUGAAGAAUGCUAUGAUUUUUUCAAUAAGUUUGCCAAGACAAAAGGAUUCAGUGUUAGAAAGAGCAAAGUUUGGUGCUCAAAAAUCACAGGUUGUAUAAUAAGUCGACAGUUUCUUUGCUCAAAAGCUGGGGUGAGAGAUGAGAAGUAUUUCAAUUUGCCAAAUAGAAAACGGAAACAUCGGCCACUUACAAGAUUUGAAUGUCCUGUGAAGUUAGUGAUUAAAUUCAGCUGGGAGAUGGAUCUAUGGUAUGUUGACAAGUACAUUGAUUCACACAACCAUGAGCUGGCUAGACCCAACGAAACAACAUUUCUCCGUUCACACAGAAAAAUGACAGAGUGGUAG